rnacentral:rRNA from 1 species
GAUGAACGCUGGCGGCGUGCCUAAUACAUGCAAGUCGAGCGAAUGGAUUAAGAGCUUGCUCUUAUGAAGUUAGCGGCGGACGGGUGAGUAACACGUGGGUAACCUGCCCAUAAGACUGGGAUAACUCCGGGAAACCGGGGCUAAUACCGGAUAACAUUUUGAACCGCAUGGUUCGAAAUUGAAAGGCGGCUUCGGCUGUCACUUAUGGAUGGACCCGCGUCGCAUUAGCUAGUUGGUGAGGUAACGGCUCACCAAGGCAAUGAUGCGUAGCCGACCUGAGAGGGGGGUCUGCCACACUGGGACGGAGACACGGCCCAGACUCCUACGGGAGGCAGCAGUAGGGAAUCUUCCGCCAUGGACGAAAGUCUGACGGAGCAACGCCGCGUGAGUGAUGAAGGCUUUCGGGUCGUAAAACUCUGUUGUUAGGGAAGAACAAGUGCUAGUUGAAUAAGCUGACACCUUGACGGUACCUAACCAGAAAGCCACGGCUAACUACGUGCCAGCCGCCGCCGUAA